UUGACCUCGGAUCAGGUAGGAAUACCCGCUGAACUUAAGCAUAUCAAUAAGCGGAGGAAAAGAAACCAACAGGGAUUGCCUUAGUAACGGCGAGUGAAGCGGCAACAGCUCAAAUUUGAAAUCUGGCUCCUUCGGGGUCCGAGUUGUAAUUUGCAGAGGAUGCUUCGAGUUAUGGUUCCUUCCGAGUUCCCUGGAACGGGACGCCAUAGAGGGUGAGAGCCCCGUCUGGUAGGAAACCAUGCUCAUGUGAAGCUCCCUCGACGAGUCGAGUAGUUUGGGAAUGCUGCUCUAAGGGGAGGUAUACUCCUUCCAAGGCUAAAUACCGGCUAGAGACCGAUAGCGCACAAGUAGAGUGAUCGAAAGAUGAAAAGUACUUUGAAAAGAGAGUCUGACAGCACGUGAAAUUGUUAAAAAGGGGAAGCG
rnacentral:rRNA from 1 species